rnacentral:rRNA from 1 species
GGGUCAGUAGGUUGGUCGUGCCACUGGUACGUACUGGUCUCACUGAUUCCUCCUUCCCGAAGAACCGUAAUGCCAUUAAUUUGGUGUUGCGGGGAAACAGGACUGUUACUUUGAAAAAAUUAGAGUGUUUAAAGCAAGCUAACGCUUGAAUACAUUAGCAUGGAAUAAUGAAAUAGGACGAUCGAUCCUAUUUUGUUGGUUUCUAGGAUUGACGUA